GUGUAUCUGCAAUAUCAAGAGUUUUGGGGUCAAAUCGUGAAUAGUCGAAAACGUUAAGGACUAUAUGUGCAAAACAGCUAAAGAUCACCAUUGUCGUUCUUCUUCACUUCGAUCCCGACAAUUUCUUCUUCACUUCGAUCCCGACAAUUCCGGCGAUUACCACGGCUGUUUCCGACGAUUGCGAUGGCUGAGAGUACGACGGAGUAGGCGAUUUGGAAGAGAGACCCAUUGGAGGAGUUGUCG
rnacentral:lncRNA from 1 species